CGGCUCAUAACCGGUUGGUCGCAGGUUCGAAUCCUGCCGGGCCCA
rnacentral:tRNA from 1 species